rnacentral:rRNA from 1 species
GAUGAACGCUGGCGGCGUGCCUAAUACAUGCAAGUCGAGCGAACGGACGAGAAGCUUGCUUCUCUGAUGUUAGCGGCGGACGGGUGAGUAACACGUGGAUAACCUACCUAUAAGACUGGGAUAACUUCGGGAAACCGGAGCUAAUACCGGAUGAUAUUUUGAACCGCAUGGUUCAACAGUGAAAGACGGUCUUGCUGUCACUUAUAGAUGGAUCCGCGCUGCAUUAGCUAGUUGGUAAGGUAACGGCUUACCAAGGCAACGAUGCAUAGCCGACCUGAGAGGGUGAUCAGCCACACUGGAACUGAGACACGGUCCAGACUCCUACGGGAGGCAGCAGUAGGGAAUCUUCCGCAAUGGGCGAAAGCCUGACGGAGCAACGCCGCGUGAGUGAUGAAGGUCUUCGGAUCGUAAAACUCUGUUAUUAGGGAAGAACAGAUGUGUAAGUAACUGUGCACAUCUUGACGGUACCUAAUCAGAAAGCCACGGCUAACUACGUG